rnacentral:rRNA from 1 species
AACGAACGCUGGCGGCAGGCCUAACACAUGCAAGUCGAACGCUCCAGCAAUGGAGAGUGGCAGACGGGUGAGUAACACGUGGGAACCUUCCCUUUGGUUCGGAAUAGCUCAGGGAAACUUGAGGUAAUACCGGAUAAGCCCUUACGGGGAAAGAUUUAUCGCCGAAGGAUGGGCCCGCGUCGGAUUAGCUAGUUGGUGGGGUAACGGCCUACCAAGGCGACGAUCCGUAGCUGGUCUGAGAGGAUGAUCAGCCACACUGGGACUGAGACACGGCCCAGACUCCUACGGGAGGCAGCAGUGGGGAAUAUUGGACAAUGGGCGCAAGCCUGAUCCAGCCAUGCCGCGUGAGUGACGAAGGUCUUCGGAUUGUAAAGCUCUUUUGGCGGGGACGAUAAUGACGGUACCCGCAGAAUAAGCCCCGGCUAACUUCGUGCCAGCCGCCGCGGUAACAC